UCUCGCCCGGGCCUCCGCCCAAGAAGCACAGCCGGGACCCGGCGGGCAUGGGAUCCUGGAAACUGUCCAGUCUGGAGGGUCACAGAGUGACGGGAGGGCAGGGAAUGGCCGUGAGCCGGCUUGCAGUCUCCCAAAGCCCCCGCGCACACCCCAGCUCAGCAGAACGUCCCCCCCGUUCCCUGGGGCUCUGCAGGCUGCCCGGCUCCGUCCUCAGAACAAGGUCCUCCUCCCGCCUCGGAGCAUCCUGUGACCUCUGUGGCUUUCGUCACCCAGAUCCGGUUUCUCUAGCUUGGCGGCCGCCGCCAGGUCCAGCACGCCCGUUGACCCCGGGCCUCUCCCCGGGCCUCAGUCUCCCCGCGCCCAGCGGCGCCUCCGCUCCACCAGGUGCAGUCCCUGGACAGAGGGCUGCCGCGAGCUGGAUGAUACAGCGCUCACGGGCCUCGCUGCAGGACGGUCCCGACCCCGGGGCCCGUGCCCUGCAGGGUCAGGCCGGGAGGUCUCCGGCCACCUCCGUUUGCAGAGUGCCACGCGGACGCCCCCACCAAGAGCCAUGAGCACCUGCGCUGUACAAGGCCGUUCAUGAGGAGCCCGGGGACCCGGCAGGGCAGGAACAGAGACCCUGCUUCUGCUGGAGGUUUCCUUCUAGAGCAGGUGCGCUGGGGCCAGGCCAGACGACGGGGAGGGGACAGACCAGCCCCACGGCUGGAGCGGACGCCACCGGGGCCGGCGAGGAGGACGUAACAUGACCAGAGCCGCCCAGGUCGGGAGCAGUGAGUAUGGAGAAACCGAGGUGCGGAACGUGGAGGCGCCCUGCCCAAGGCCGCGCUGGUGAGGGGACAUCGACCCAGGCCGUCCUGUGUCCGGGCGUCAGGCAGCCCCUCGGAGCCCCGGGGAGUCGUGCCAAGCGAAACCCCUUCUGUGUCCCUGUCAGGGGCCGAUUCCAGCAUCUCCGUGCACCCAGCCGGCCUCGCCUGCUGCGCAAGCCGCCCUGGGCGCUGGAGCCCGCGGGCAGGCAGCUUCCCGGCCAGGAGACUGAAGACAGCGCCGCGCAGCAGGCGAGGCCUGGACAGGUGUCCUCGUGAGCCCGGCGUGCCCCCCGCCCCACCCAGGGCUGGCCUGCAGCACACGAUCGUGGCCCCAGUACCAGCGAUGGGGCUUGUGAGCAACGGAACGCAUUCCCCGCAGUCCCAGAGGCGGAAGUCCAAGACUGAGGCACCUGCAGACCCGGGGUGAGGACCCUCCUCCUGGUCACACGGCAGACAGGCCGAGGGGCCCCCGGGGCCGCCAGCUCCAUCACCACCUGGCCCCACGCUCCCCUCUCCUGACACCGGCACACAGGGUUAGGUUUCAACGGCUGAAUCCGGGGGGACACCACAUUCAGUCCGCGGCACCAGCCACAGCAGCCUGGGACCCGGGGGUGGGACAGGACACUGCCCAGCGUGCGGAGCGCCUGCUGCCAGCCCUACUGAGUAAUAAAUCGUCUAAAUCUC